rnacentral:ncRNA from 1 species
CACGGGAGUCCCGGGACCGGGGACUGAGAGUGGGCCCGCCUGCCCUUACCGUCACACCUGAUCCGGGUCAUGCCGGCGAAGGGAG